AUUUGGCAAUAUUUUGCAGGUCUCCAGACAAAAUUUGUAUUUGACUGAUGAUAUGAACAUGGCGAUUUUUCCUGGAGUGAAUGGACUGUUCAGCACCCUCGACUUGACACCAAGGGGCCAUUAUGAAGUACAUGGCGAGUGAGUCGCGUCUGUCACCAUCUUCAUCUGCCAGUAGCUCUAGUGGCAGUCAGCGCUUCUCAUUUUUACAUAUAGCAUCCAGUAUUGCAGGUUCUUCUGUUGCAUCCCCUGUUCAGGCUAGUGCUGCACCUCCAAGGGCGAGCAUGUCCCGUUCAUUUCAGAGCCCAGCAGAACUGUAGUUGUCCGGUUUAUGAAGUUUGAAGCAACAGUCCCUGGCAUUAUGGCUAAAGUUCAAAGUGCCCUGAACAGCGAAGAGCCAUUGAUCCUUAUGGAUGCUCAGGGUAAUGAAAUAGUGGAGUAUACCCAAAGGUUCACUAUACUGGAAGCAAAAUGCUCACAAAAUACUUGCCAUUUCAGAGGAGGAAUUUCAAAGAUUUCAACAAGAGAACAAAUGAAAGAGGCCUAGUCAGAGAGAUGAUGGCAGCAGUGGCUUGCAGAAUGUGUUUGAAAGAAUUGAAGAAGUUGUGCUGGCUGCUCAAGGCCUACAAGAAGUCGCUUCAGUAAUGAAAGAGCUCUCCGACAUUAACAGUAACACGAGAAUCACACUGGUAAUGACAGACUCCCAAGCACAACAGCUACAGGGAGCAUUCAACUGUCAUGUAUGCAAAGUUUUGCACCCCAAAUCAUUAUUUUUAACACAAUCUGAUGCUUUGCAUAAAAGCUGUGAACUUUAACCAUGUGUUAAACUUUUUAU